rnacentral:rRNA from 2 species
AGACUCCUACGGGAGGCAGCAGUAGGGAAUAUUCCACAAUGGACGAAAGUCUGAUGGAGCGACACAGCGUGCAGGAUGAAGGCCCUAUGGGUUGUAAACUGCUGUGGUUAGGGAAGAAAAAGUAGCAUAGGAAAUGAUGCUACCUUGACGGUACCUGAUUAGAAAGCAACGGCUAACUAUGUGCCAGCAGCCGCGGUAAUACAUAGGUUGCAAGCGUUAUCCGAAAUUAUUGGGCGUAAAGCGUCUGUAGGUUGUUUGUUAAGUCUGGCGUUAAAUUUUGGGGCUCAACCCCAAAACGCGUUGGAUACUGGCAGACUAGAGUUAUGUAGAGGUUAGCGGAAUUCCUUGUGAAGCGGUGAAAUGCGUAGAUAUAAGGAAGAACAUCAAUAUGGCGAAGGCAGCUAACUGGGCAUACACUGACACUGAGAGACGAAAGCGUGGGGAGCAAACAGGAUUAGAUACCCUGGUAGUCCACGCCCUAAACGAUGAUCAUUAGUUGAUGGGGAACUCAUCGACGCAGCUAACGCAUUAAAUGAUCCGCCUGAGUAGUACGUUCGCAAGAAUAAAACUUAAAGGAAUUGACGGGGAUCCGCACAAGCGGUGGAGCAUGUGGUUUAAUUUGAUGUUACGCGUAGAACCUUACCCACUCUUGACAUCUUCUGCAAAGCUAUAGAGACAUAGUGGAGGUUAACAGAAUGACAGAUGGUGCAUGGUUGUCGUCAGCUCGUGUCGUGAGAUGUUCGGUUAAGUCCUGCAACGAGCGCAACCCUUAUCCUUAGUUACUACCAUUUAGUUGAGCACUCUAAGGAGACUGCCCGAGUAAUCGGGAGGAAGGUGGGGACGACGUCAAAUCAUCAUGCCUCUUACGAGUGGGGCUACACACGUGCUACAAUGGACGGUACAAAGAGAAGCGAAGUGGUGACAUGGAGCAAACCUCAAAAAACCGUUCUCAGUUCGGAUUGAAGUCUGCAACUCGACUUCAUGAAGUCGGAAUCGCUAGU